UUGAUGCCACUUAAAGCCACUUGAUGUUCC
rnacentral:piRNA from 1 species